rnacentral:rRNA from 1 species
CGAACGGGUGAGUAACGCGUGAGGAACCUGCCUCAAAGAGGGGGACAACAGUUGGAAACGACUGCUAAUACCGCAUAAGCCCACGGCUCGGCAUCGAGCAGAGGGAAAAGGAGAGAUCCGCUUUGAGAUGGCCUCGCGUCCGAUUAGCUAGUUGGUGAGGUAACGGCCCACCAAGGCGACGAUCGGUAGCCGGACUGAGAGGUUGAACGGCCACAUUGGGACUGAGACACGGCCCAG